ncrna:unclassified sequences freshwater-2 RNA
CAACACAAUCCUGUGUUUUAUGCAGCGUUAACCCACUGCGUAGCGGCUAGAACCCGCAUAGGACUUCUAUUAGGAGAAAUCAAAUG